CACGUAGUUAGCCGUCCCUUUCUGGUAAGAUACCGUCACAGUGUGAACUUUCCACUCUCACACUCGUUCUUCUCUUACAACAGAGCUUUACGAUCCGAAAACCUUCUUCACUCACGCGGCGUUGCUCGGUCAGACCUCCGUCCAUUGCCGAAGAUUCCCCACUGCUGCCUCCCGUAGGAGUCUGGGCCGUGUCUCAGUCCCAGUGUGGCCGAUCACCCUCUCAGGUCGGCUAUGUAUCGUUGCCUUGGUGAGCCGUUACCUCACCAACUAGCUAAUACAACGCAGGUCCAUCUGGUAGUGAUGCAAUUGCACCUUUUAAGCAAAUGUCAUGCAACAUCUACUGUUAUGCGGUAUUAGCUAUCGUUUCCAAUAGUUAUCCCCCGCUACCAGGCAGGUUACCUACGCGUUACUCACCCGUUCGCAACUCAUCCAGAAGAGCAAGCUCCUCCUUCAGCGUUCUACUUGCAUGUAUUAGGCACGCCGCCAGCGUUCG
rnacentral:rRNA from 1 species